rnacentral:ncRNA from 1 species
AAGGCGUAACCCGAAAAGCCAAUAGCCAAUAGAGUAGGGA